rnacentral:RNase_P_RNA from 1 species
UAAGCAAGUCGGAUGAUCGCUCCGCAAGGAGAGGAAAGUCCGGGCACCAUAUGAGCAAGGUAGUUGCGAAACGCAACCGGUCGAAAGGCCCGAGCCAGUGCCACAGAAACAUAUACCGCCUCAAUUUAUUGAGGUAAGGGUGAAAAGAGUGGGGUAAGAGCCCACAGCGUUUGCCGGUGACGGUAAAUGGAGGUAAACCUUACUUGGUGCAAGUCCGGUGGGCUGAAGUUUUCCUAGAUUGUGUCUUAGCUUUGCGAAAGCAAGGUGUGGCUCUAAAAUAGCGAGGUGUUGCUCGCACUGAAAACUAAGGUCCGGACGCACAGAUAGAUGAUCAUCGAUAACAGAACCCGGCUUAUAGACUCGCUUAGCAA